CAGAAGAAAGUUGUUUGAAAACGCCUCAUCCCAAACCUUUCAGAAACCCUGCUGUUUCCAGCUCUUAGACACUAUCAAGGAGAUCUAUAAUAGUGGAGGAGCCCUUUCUGCUUACCUGGUGAUGCUGACCGGCCAAAUGAAGCAGGAGAGAACACACAGCCAGGUGAACCGCUGAGCAAACACAGGAGGAGAAACACACAGGCAGAGUUCUGAUCUGACUGUGUGUUUUCUGUAAAAAUGAGGAGCAGGGUUUACAGGAAAAAAGCCUGGAAACGUUUUUCACACAGAAAAGGUUAGUAAAUCUUCAAAGCUUUGCCAAGUAAAAGAUUAAUCAUAAUUAUUGGUACAUUUAAUUAGAAAUGUUAAGUUUA